rnacentral:lncRNA from 1 species
UGAGGAAAUAUAUGAACUACAUCGGUAGAUUUUUCUAAUGGAAACAAUCCUUACCUUCUUGAAAUUAAUGCCGCUUGACCAUGAGUGUUUGAUCAGGGAAGCAGAACAAUUAUGAAUGACAAAGCAUAAAGGAAUUAUUAUAAGGAAUAGGAAGGGAGAACUGAAGAACUAGAGGUCUGGAAGGAGAUAGUUGGAGGAUCAGAUAAAAGUUACUUAUCAGGGAUCUUAAAAUAGAGAGCUAGUAGAGGAGUCCAUAGAAUGCUAGACUUCUGUGUCAGGCAAUAGGCCAGAAUCUCCAUAUAUUGACAUGCUGACAGUCUAGAAGUAAAUCAGGCAAGAGUUGGGAUGAAUUGCAAUCCAUGAGUACAGGCCAAAUCUUUCAUUCACCAUCUUUAACCUUGAUUAUGAAGUGAUAUGGUAAAAAAGCUUCAUUUGGCCCAGGAUGCAUAAUCUGCCAGAUAUCUAGUUGGAUAUAAGGUGCUGCAGGCCCAGUUGCUGCUGAUUGGCAGCAAAUAAACCAGUGGAUGACACAUGGGAUGCAGUGGCUCCUAGAUCCCUACUCUGACUUUCAGAAGGUAAUGAUUGCUGCUUUACUUCUGCUUCCCAGAUUUAAUGCAAAUUUUUCUUGUGCCACAUACCUGGCCCAGAACCAUACAUGGGAGUGAAUUAUGGGAAAUACAGUUCUCAUUUAAUUAAUUAAUAAUAUAAAACCACAACUACAAUUAACUUGAAAAAUACAUGUCUCCCUCUGCCUCUCUCUCUCUCAUGAGUAAAUAAAUAAAAAAUUUAAAAAAAAAUACAUGUAAAAAUGUUUCACUUAUAAAUUUUAAUUUAUAUUUAGCAGUUAUAUUUGUGUGUGAUCUUAGAAGGGCCUUUUUUCCAGGUUUAUUAUCAAUAUAUGCUAUUUUUACAAAGAAAAAGGCUAAUUUAUUUCAUCAUGAGUCUCCAAAUUAAUUUUGCAAAAUCAUGCCAAGUUAUCUAUGCUCCUUGAAGAUAUGAAAUCACUGCUGAAACAAAAGAAGAAAAUUGGCAGAGGAUGGUGUUUUCUUUUUUGAGGAGUAGUUAUUUGGCAGCAUUCUCAAUUUUUAAAAUUAUUUCAUUGGCGUUUUGAUAAUCCAUUUAGUUCUUAACUUUGUUAAUUUAUAUUUUCCCUAAUAAUCAGCCAUGCCAUCCAGAUUCCAGAUUAGCCUGGUAAUAACAAAUUUAAAGUAAUCUUUUAUAUCUUUGCUAAUAUAAUAUUCUCUUCUUAAUUUAAUUAUCUUUUUUUCUAGAUUAAACUAGAAGUAAACAAUCUCUUUUAUUGAUAUUUUUAAGGUACCAGUUCUUAGAUUUGUCUAAAUCAAUUUUUAUAUUUUUCUAGGUCAUGAAUUUUUCAUGUUAAUUUGUUCCUUUUGUUUUCUGUAUUUUUAUUUGAAAUUGAGGAAGAAGACUGAUGUUCUUUUUUUUUUUUUCUGAUGUUCUUUUUAUACAGUCUUAUAGGUUAUGUUAGUUUAGUUGGUUUGUUUUUAUAUAAUAAUUUUUUUAUCUUUCAGCAAUCUCUACAUCUCAUAAAUUAUUAAAUGUAAUAUGCUCAUGAAUUUAUGUCCUUUCUAAAUAUUGUGAACCUAUUAAUAUUGCCAUCUUCUUUAUCCAAAAAUGACCCUUGCUAAUCCAAAUAUUAUAGUAAUGUAUUUAUAAAAUGUAUUGACAGUACUAUUUCUGAUUUUUUAAAAAUUCAUGGUACAACUAGGUUUAGUUUUUGAUGUAUUAUUUUAUAUCCUAAAUUUUAAAAUACUUACUACAAUUUUGUAUCGAGGUAUAAUGUAUGUGUGAAGUACACAAAUUGUCAACAUACAGCUUCAUACAAUUUUUAAAAUAUGCAUACAAUGUGUAACCAUCCUCCAAAUAAGCGUAUAGAAAAUUUCCAGUAUCCCAGGUUUUUCAUGCCCUAUUCCAGACAAUAACUCCCACUUCUGCAAAAAAAGUAGUCCACUCUGAAUUCUGUUCCUGCAUAUUAAUUUAAUCUAUUCUUGAGCUUCCUAUAGAAAGAAUCACAGCAUCUACUUUUUAAAAUCUAAAUUGUAUCUUAUGUAUUCUUCUGAUUUUGGCCUUACUUCCUUUAACACUUACCUUUGUUGUUGCCUUUGGUCAUAGUUUGUCCUGAUUAUAUUACUAAAUGGUAUUUCAUUUAUACAAUAUACAAUUUAUUAAUCUACUUUAGGAUUAAUAGGUAUUUGAAUUGUUAAGUAUUUAGCUAUUAUGAACAAAGCUGAAAAUAGUGUUACUAUGCAUGUUUUUGUUUUUGUUUUUUUUGCGGGGGGGGAGCACAUGUAUUAAUAUGUUUUAGUUCUAUACCUAAGAGGCAUUUCUAUCACAGGCUAGAAGUAUGUUUCACCUUAGUAGAUACCACCAAAUUGUUUCCGAAAUGGUUGUACCAAUAUAUGCUCCCAGCUGCAGUAUGUCAGGUUUCUGGUUGCUGCAUAUCAUCAACAAAACUUGGUAUUGUUCAUCCAAUAUUUUUUGGUGCUUACUAUGUGACAGGUAUUUUAGUAAAUGCACUUUUAUUAAUGAAUUUCCACCCAAAGCAGUAUCAUAGAGUAGUUAUUGUUCUGCACAGAAUUUACUUUUUGUUCUUGUUUUGGUGAUAUUUUAUUGAAAUACAACUUACGUGGAGUUAUAUUAAAUAUGUUUUUUACAUAUAAAAUGUAUUUUCUCUAUCAAGAUAGAGAAAAUUUUGUCACCUGGAAUUCUUUCUUGUGCUAUGGCCCCAACCAGUCAGUACCAAAUUAACCCAGCAAGCACAAUGAUUAUUCUGAUUUCUAUUGCUAAAGAUGGAUUUGGCCCACUUAUAACCUUAUAUAAAUGGAAUCAUACAGUAUAUACUCUUGUGCCUGAAGUCUUUCACUAAAACUUAUGUCUGUGAGAUUCAACAAUGUUGCUGAGCUCAUUCUCUUAUAGUGUGCAUAGUAGUUCAUUCUUUUUUAUGCUAUUUCACUGUAUGAAUAUUAUUCCACAGUUUAUUUACCUAUUCCAUGUUGAGGGGAACUUGGGUUUAUUACAUUAUGAAGCCAUUGCCAACAAAAUUGUUAUGAAUGUAUUGAUCAUGCCUUCUGGUCAACAUCAUUACUUACUUCAGGGAGGAUAUACUCAGCAGUACAGUUGCUGAGUAAGGACAUAUGUAUGUUUAGUUGUAGUAGAUAAAACCAAAGUGUAAUACCCUGCUUUUUAUUUCUUUGUUUUAACAUUAGUUUCAGAAAGAAUAUUUGCUACCUAGAAUUUACAGUCUCUAUUUCAUGGCAACACUGGAUAAUGGCUUUGUGAAAUUGAAAAAAAAUUUGGAGCAACUGUAAUCAGAAAUGCCAAAUUAUUGAUGGUUAUUGUUGCUGCUUCAAAUAUGUAUUGAAUUAAUGUGUAAGAAAGCCCAUUCUUUCAUGUUAAAUACUUGGGAGGGAGGAGAGGAGGGGGUCCCUUUCUUAAAUGAAAAUUUCUUAAAUGAAAAUAAUUACUGCGAUUUUAAAAUUUCUUCAUCAUUGAAUGUGAGACCCUUCUAACACGAUUUAAGAAGCUGUACAAGUAUAGGCAGAGUUAUUUUCCUGUUUACAUUUUUUUUGGUUUGUUUUGGGAAAGAAUUGGUAGGUGUCUAAUUACUGUUUACUUCAUUAUUAUAUUGCAGUAAAAGUUUUAAAACCACCACCACCAAAAAAAAAAAAAAAAAAA